GUGCCAGCCGCCGCGGUAAUACGUAGGGUGCAAGCGUUAAUCGGAAUUACUGGGCGUAAAGCGUGCGCAAGCGGUUUUGUAAGACAGGCGUGAAAUCCCCGGGCUCAACCUGGGAAUUGCGCUUGUGACUGCAAGGCUUGAGUGCGGCAGAGGGGGGUAGAAUUCCACGUGUAGCAGUGAAAUGCGUAGAGAUGUGGAGGAAUACCAAUGGCGAAGGCAGCCCCCUGGGAUAAUAUUGACGCUCAUGCACGAAAGCGUGGGUAGCAAACAGGAUUAGAUACCCUAGUAGUCCACGCCGUAA
rnacentral:rRNA from 1 species